GAAAUGGAAGAAAACUUUGAUCGAUUUAAAUCGACACCUUUUUUGUUUUCUAGCAAUUUACACUUUACGUAGUUUAAUAAGUAUACUUAAUUCGCCUAAAAAGUUAUACUGUGUCAAAAUAAUGCGAGAUUAUUCAAUCCAGUGUAUUUAAUCACGCCAAUAGAAACAUGUUUGUUUUUGUUACGAGCCAAAACUAGUUAACUGGUUAAUUAUUUCCACUAGCAAAAAGCUGAAAAUAUUAAUUAUCUGCAGCGAUUUCCCGACAGCAUGCUGAAUACCUUUUUGGCCGGGUUUUGGCUAGCUUUGAAAGCGAAUUUUCAAGAAGUGGUGUGACCUUCGAUGUGCUGAAACAAGAAGAACCUAAGGAGUUAGUCGUGUGGUGCAAAGGUUUACUGUGCUGGAUGCGAGGCUGGAUGUCCAUAAAAAUGUACUACCGCGGACACUGUGUGAUCCGAGGUGUGAUCGGACAACGUCACCAUAAUUCUUGAAAGAGCUCAAGUUACCAUGCCGCCAUCGCCGGGAACAGAUUCAGUCCGAAAUGAUGUUCGCCAGGAAGCGGAGAGGUCCUUAUUAAUUUGAUAUGUUUUACUCCAGAUUUUACUGAAUAAAACUUAACUGCUCGUUUCAUUUCGUCGAAAUUAUUUUUAAUAUAAAAAAAAAAACAAAACAAAACAAAUCCCAAUCAUUUUUAACUAAAUUACGGUUAAACUAGCCCCGAUAUACCGUGGUUAUACUAGAAUACGUGUAUAUUCAAGUUAUACUUGGCCAGUAUACCCAGCAUAUAAACGGACUCUGGGGUCAACCAGGCAAAAUGGAUUUAGUGUGGGAUUUAUACUAAAUAGUUUAGAUUAUUUUCU